GCCAAAACAUGCAUAAGGAGCGUGAGGACCUAACAAGAAUGCGGCCAAGAACUCCAUUUUUGUGUAAGCUUACGUUCGAACAAGGAUCAUUCAUGGGAUCACGCACGCACGACUCAGCACUCUCCUCACUCGAUUUCGCACUGUCAACGCAUAAUCACCAAGACAAAUACGAAAGCUCACUUCAACCUCUCAUGAAGGUCAACAACGAAGAACGAAAUUGCAUUCAGCCUCGUCGUCAAGUUGUAAUCGAGGCCAACUCAUCUACGGUUUGUUUGCGCACGGGACCGAGGAGGAAGAAAUGUGGAUGCAAAUGGUGAUUGGAAGCAAGACUCACCGAAGCAGACUCUUCGAUGUGAUGAUCACAGGUUCUAUUUCCGCUUGCGUUGGAUGUCGUCGUUCUCCCCUUAUGCUGCUUCUGAACUUUUGGAAAUGUCAGGUUGGAUUUUGGAUCCGGCAAGGGCAAAACCUUCGAACGUUCUGCCGGCGGUGGAGUUACGCAGGUUCGAGGGAAGUCCGAGAUGAAGUUAUACUGUUAGAAAGUUCCAAAGCGGUUUAGUGGAAGGUGAUGGAGAAGGUUGAAGCGAGGAGAAACUCGGUUAUGGAGGUUGUGCGGAGUGAAGAAGAUUGCCACGAGCGGUUGGGGUGAGGUGAAGAAUGGAGGAGGUUGUGGCAGUGAUUGGAUGGUGAACGAGAUUGAAGGUGAUGGCGAAGAUGGAAGAAAAAGCUAGCCCCCAAAAAAGAAUCACAAAGGUUUGUCGUUAUGUCUUGCGUUAUAACCUUGCAAAGAAGGCCCGAAGUGAGUCAACUAUGACACGUCAAGUAGAUGGAUGGUGGAGGCCUAUGCAAGCGUUAUGCAGGGCUGAAGUGACUGGAUAAUGCUUGGACAAGGCUGAACUGCAAUUUUUCAUGGCAGUGUGAGAGUGGGCAGCCGUUUCGUACUUGGUGUAAAUGAAUAUCAAUGGCUUAUGGGCUGAUUGGAGUGGAUUGUUGGAGUUGAUUUGGUUAUGUUUAUUGCUUGUAGCUAGCAUUAGAUCAUUGUAAUUUGAAUCGUAUUUGAUGUACGUACUUCGUAUGCUGUAACUUUGGUUGAAUAGAAGUGAAGUGUGUAUGUAGUUAAUGAAAAUUGAAUGCCAAGGAUUUGAGUUUGGCAUAAUGGCUUUGUCGAUUUUGGAAAUUUGUAAAAAAAAAUGGUUGUAUUGCAAUUCUAUUAAUGGUUAUGUAAUUUAAAAUGUAGCAUGGUGUAAUGGUAA